UCAAAAAGCAAAUAUUUUUUAGAAAGUAUUAAUACCAAGAACAUUACCUUUUAAAAUAGAAGCACUUUAGUUUGAUAGAGAAUAUUAUUCCCUUUUUAUGAUAACAGAUUUUAAGUAUCCAAAUAUCAGAUAAUUUUGAAGACAUUUACACACAGACACACAUACAUACACACAUACACCUUUGUGCACAAGACUUUUAAGGCGCACUUAUGUUUUAAAAAUGAAAAUUGGC